ensembl:lncRNA
AGAAGAUCUUCACCCUUGAAACUGUCGACAUCAUCUGCUGCCUGUGCCCGGACUCGAGAUGCUCGUUGAAAUGAAUUACUGUUACAUUCUGGACGGGAUCCUCCUCCUGUACGGACUCAUCCUGACAGUGAUGUACUGCAGACUGAGGAUUCAAACCCGAAAGAAAGAAGCCACCUGCACUCAGAAGCAGGCCCCUGAGGGAGGCAUCUAUGCGGUGAGACAUCUCUCUGUUGUCAUUAAAAAGCUCUUUAAAAAGGCUCGCGACCACCAGGGGGCAGUGUACGCCGCUCCGCAUGGUAAAGCCUCCUCUGUCUUCUGAAUAUUUAGGGGUGGGUGAUAAAUACAGACAAUAUGAAAUGAGUGACAGGUGGAACCAACCAACCACAGUGAAGUGAAACCUCAAAGAAGCAGCAGAAUCACAUUAAAGACACGACACGAUAGAGAUAAAUGUAUUUGAAUGUCACAGGAGAGAGAGAUUCACCAUCACACUUCAGUUUAGUGACAUUAGAAACAUCCAGGAGCAUUUGAGACACUGAAAUCUGAACUGUUAAAGUAAAACAAGGACUUAGGCAGAAUAAGAACCCAAACAGAAGACAAGUCCUCCUGCUGACCAGGUUAGAACUAGAAGUAGAUACUGAAACACUUGGAUCAGAUAUCGGUUUACAAAUAUUGUUUCAGUCGAUAUCCUGUUUGGACAUAAUCAUCGAUGUCGCUCAGAAAAUGUUUGAACUUUUAUUGACACAAACUGUUCUGUGGUUCCCUGAGGCACAGCUCCACUUUUGGCUCCGUCGUGUUGGGCGAUACUUUCACACUGUGGUUGUGUUUUAGGGUCUGACUUCGCCUAACACCGACACGUACGAGACCAUCCGCGUGGACAAGACGCCCAUCGUGUGAAACAGCCUGCUUCAGCGCUUCUCUUCUGUCUGUUUUAUCUGUUUAUAAUGUUAGUGAGAGGAAGAAGUGCUUCAGAACGUGCUUCAGUGUUCAACAGAAGUGUGAAGUUCAAUUCCGGCCUGUGCAUCGACUUUUUAUGAUUAAAGCUCCUGUCACACAAAACUGUACUGCAGUGACAUGUUAUAAUACUGUUUUUACUGUUAAAACAUCAGGAGUUGUGUUUUGUUUCAUUCACAUGUUUGAGUCACUUUAUUAUUAGUCUGUAACAUCUACAAAGCUCAAAAUGCGACGUUCCACCUUGUGAUGUCAUCAAGUGGUCGUUUUAGUGAACAGCUCCUUUUACCUUUAGUUCAGAAGAGAUUUUUUUCAAUUCCAGAGCUGAAAUGAUCCAAAUGAUUCUAGAAAUGUGGAGUUUAAAAACACAGUGGAGCACUUCCUGUAUCACCACAUGAUGACAUCACAAGGUGGAACAGAGCGUUUUCAGUUAUAAAUCUGCAGGUUUGUGUGUUAAACAUGUGAGAAUGAAACAAAACACAACUCCAGGUCUGUGUGUGACGAGGAAACAACAUCAGAACAGACCAGAGUCAUGUGGGUCGUUCAAAAUGUAAAUGAAUCAUUUUCAGUUUUUUUUUCAUUCACUUUGAUGAUUUGGACCCAGAUGAACACGUCACCUUUUGCUGCAAACGUAUUUUUUCAGACUAACAUCGAUUGUGCCACUAAUAUUUUAUCUUUAGUUUAAUUUGUGGAGGUUUCUUCAUGUUUUCUCGUGUUUUGAAGCCAGUGCAAUGUAAGAAGCACUAAAUGAAUGCAUGUAGUUAUAAAUAAAAGCUUGGGGCA